UACGUAGGGUCCGAGCGUUGUCCGGAGUUACUGGGCGUAAAGCGCGCGCAGGCGGCUCGGCAAGCAUGGCGUGAAAGCCCCCGGCUCAACUGGGGAGGGUCACGCGAUACUGAUCGACUCGAAGGCAGGAGAGGGAAGUGGAAUUCCCGGUGUGAGUGGUGAAAUGCGUAGAUAUCGGGAGGAACACCAGUGGCGAAGGCGACUCCUGGCCUGUUCUUGACGCUGAGGCGCGAAAGCUAGGGGAGCAAACGGGG
rnacentral:rRNA from 1 species